rnacentral:rRNA from 1 species
GACGAACGCUGGCGGCGUGCUUAACACAUGCAAGUCGAACGGAAAGGCCCUGCUUUUGUGGGGUGCUCGAGUGGGGAACGGGGGAGUAACACGAGAGUAACCUGCCCUUGACUUUGGGAUAACUUCAGGAAACUGGGGCUAAUACCGGAUAGGAGCCCCCGCUGCAUGGUGGGGGUUGGAAAGUUUCGGCGGUUGGGGAUGGACUCGCGGCUUAUCAGCUUGUUGGUGGGGUAGUGGCUUAACAAGGCUUUGACGGGUAGCCGGCCUGGGAGGGUGGCCGGCCACAUUGGGACUAGGAUACGGCCCAGAGUCGUACGGGGGGCAGCAGUGGGAAGUAUGACACAAUGGGCGGGAGCCUGAGGCAGAAGCGCCGCGUGCGGGAUGACGGCCUUCGGGUUAUAAACCGCUUUAGCCUGUGACGAAGCGUGAGUGACGGUAAUGGAUAAAGAAGCACCGGCUAACUACGUG